UAGAUCUAGUUCAUAUGCUAAAAUUAACAUUAACUGAUUUUAGGAUGAAUAAAGAAAAGUCUGUGAUCAAUUCAUAUACUUAAAUCACUUUUUCUUUGCUUCAAAUCUGUAAUUGAGGUUGAAUCAAAUUCAAUCCCUAGAUCUGGGAUUGAUCAGAUUCUGAAUCAGCAGUACAAGCAUUCUGCCUCUACCAAUAUCUACCGGAU
rnacentral:lncRNA from 1 species